CCUACGGGAGGCUGCAGUGGGGAAUAUUGGACAAUGGGCGAAAGCCUGAUCCAGCCAUGCCGCGUGUGUGAAGAAGGCCUUCGGGUUGUAAAGCACUUUCAGUGGGGAAGAAAGCCUUGGGGCUAAUACCCUCGAGGAAGGACAUCACCCACAGAAGAAGCACCGGCUAACUCCGUGCCAGCAGCCGCGGUAAUACGGAGGGUGCGAGCGUUAAUCGGAAUUACUGGGCGUAAAGCGCGCGUAGGCGGUCUGAUAAGCCGGUUGUGAAAGCCCCGGGCUCAACCUGGGAACGGCAUCCGGAACUGUCAGGCUAGAGUGCAGGAGAGGAAGGUAGAAUUCCCGGUGUAGCGGUGAAAUGCGUAGAGAUCGGGAGGAAUACCAGUGGGGAAGGCGGCCUUCUGGACUGACACUGACGCUGAGGUGCGAAAGCGUGGGUAGCAAACAGGAUUAGAUACCCCGGUAGUC
rnacentral:rRNA from 1 species